UGGGGAAUAUUGGACAAUGGGCGCAAGCCUGAUCCAGCCAUGCCGCGUGGGUGAAGAAGGCCUUCGGGUUGUAAAGCCCUUUUGUUGGGGAAGAAAUCGUACGGGUGAAUAUCCCGUGCGGAUGACGGUACCCAAAGAAUAAGCACCGGCUAACUUCGUGCCAGCAGCCGCGGUAAUACGAAGGGUGCAAGCGUUACUCGGAAUUACUGGGCGUAAAGCGUGCGUAGGCGGUUCGUUAAGUCUGUCGUGAAAGCCCUGGGCUCAACCUGGGAAUUGCGAUGGAUACUGGCGAGCUAGAGUGCGGUAGAGGAUGGUGGAAUUCCCGGUGUAGCGGUGAAAUGCGUAGAGAUCGGGAGGAACACCCGUGGCGAAGGCGGCCAUCUGGACCAGCACUGACGCUGAGGCACGAAAGCGUGGGGAGCAAACAGG
rnacentral:rRNA from 1 species